rnacentral:rRNA from 1 species
AUUGAACGCUGGCGGCAGGCUUAACACAUGCAAGUCGAGCGGGGUGAUGGUGCUUGCACUAUCACUCAGCGGCGGACGGGUGAGUAAUGCUUAGGAAUCUGCCUAUUAGUGGGGGACAACAUCUCGAAAGGGAUGCUAAUACCGCAUACGUCCUACGGGAGAAAGCAGGGGAUCACUUGUGACCUUGCGCUAAUAGAUGAGCCUAAGUCGGAUUAGCUAGUUGGUGGGGUAAAGGCCUACCAAGGCGACGAUCUGUAGCGGGUCUGAGAGGAUGAUCCGCAACACUGGGACUGAGACACGGCCCAGACUCCUACGGGAGGCAGCAGUGGGGAAUAUUGGACAAUGGGGGGAACCCUGAUCCAGCCAUGCCGCGUGUGUGAAGAAGGCCUUAUGGUUGUAAAGCACUUUAAGCGAGGAGGAGGCUCUUUUGGUUAAUACCCAGAAUGAGUGGACGUUACUCGCAGAAUAAGCACCGGCUAACUCUGUGCCAGCCGCCGCAGUAA